GACGAACGCUGGCGGCGUGCCUAAUACAUGCAAGUCGAGCGCAGGAAAUCGACGGAACCCUUCGGGGGGAAGUCGACGGAAUGAGCGGCGGACGGGUGGGUAACACGUAAAGAACCUGCCCUCAGGUCUGGGAUAACCACGAGAAAUCGGGGCUAAUACCGGAUGGGUCAUCGGACCGCAUGGUCCGAGGAUGAAAGGCGCUCCGGCGCCGCCGGGGGAUGGCUUUGCGGUGCAUUAGCUAGUUGGUGGGGUAAUGGCCCACCAAGGCGACGAUGCAUAGCCGACCUGAGAGGGUGAUCGGCCACACUGGGACUGAGACACGGCCCAGACUCCUACGGGAGGCAGCAGUAGGGAAUCUUCCACAAUGGACGAAAGUCUGAUGGAGCAACGCCGCGUGAACGAUGAAGGCCUUCGGGUCGUAAAGUUCUGUUGUAAGGGAAGAACAAGUGCCGCAGGCAAUGGCGGCACCUUGACGGUACCUUGCGAGAAAGCCACGGCUAACUACGUGCCAGCAGCCGCAGUAACAC
rnacentral:rRNA from 1 species